GAUGAAGAACGUAGCGAAAUGCGAUAAGUAAUGUGAAUUGCAGAAUUCAGUGAAUCAUCGAAUCUUUGAACGCACAUUGCGCCCGCCAGUAUUCUGGCGGGCAUGCCUGUCCGAGCGUCAUUUCAACCCUCGAACCCCUCCGGGGGGUCGGCGUUGGGGAUCGGCCCUUUACGGGGCCGGCCCCGAAAUACAGUGGCGGUCUCGCCGCAGCCUCUCCUGCGCAGUAGUUUGCACACUCGCAUCGGGAGCGCGGCGCGUCCACAGCCGUUAAACACCCCAAACUUCUGAAAUGUUGACCUCGGAUCAGGUAGGAAUACCCGCUGAACUUAAGCAUAUCAAUAACGGAGGA
rnacentral:misc_RNA from 1 species